rnacentral:rRNA from 1 species
UCGGGAAAAUUUUGCAAUAUACGAAAGUGUGACAGAGCAAGCCAGAGUGCUUCUCUAAUAUUUGAGAAGCUUUUGUAAGAUGUAAAUAGUCUUACGAAUAAGGACCGGGCAAGACUGGUGCCAGCCGCCGCGGUAAUCCCAGCGGUCCGAGUCGCAGCCACAAUUAUUGGGUCUAAAACAUCCGUAGCUUGCUUUUCAAGUCUCUUGUGAAAUCUGGCCUCUUAAGGGUCGGGCGCGCAAGAGAUACUGUUUAGCUAGAGACCGGGAGACGUAUGAAGUACAAACAGGGUAACGGUAAAAUGUAUUGAUCCUGUUUGGACUAACAAUAGCGAAGGCAUCAUACGAGAACGGAUCUGACAGUGAGGGAUGAAGGCUAGGGGCGCAAAGUGG